GCUUUUGGUUCAGUGGUAGAAUCCUCGCCUGCCACGCGGGCGACCCGGGUUCGAUUCCCGGCCGAUGCA
rnacentral:tRNA from 1 species